UUAAUUUGAGUAACUAAUUCUAUGGCUUGUAACAAAUUCUAUGACUUGUAUAUAUAGUCUUCAACCAUUCAUAUACAUUGUGAUGAACUAAUCCAAUAAAUAUAAAAGAAUAUUGAACUAACUUUCUCUCUAAAGCUAUUUAAUUCAUUCAUUAAAUCUAUAGUUAAUUAUUUUAAUAAUUAUUCUAACAUUACCGACAUUUUGUAUCUACCCUACUAAAAUA
rnacentral:lncRNA from 1 species